GGUAUGACCUGGCUAUAUUGGUCAUGUCAUGUCAGAGUUUUGCACGCUGAAUGCACAAAGACCGUUUCUUUAUUUAUUGUUAUCACAUACCUCAUGGGGGAGUGGAUAGGCAAACACUCAUCCAGUUAAACUUGCCUCGUAGUACUUUCAUAGCUCGGUAAUUUGUAUUCUGGUAAGCAGAAUCUCCAAAUAAAUGGACGUUUAAAGCGCAUUCCUAUUUGGUUUUAAAAGUUUGUACCGAUUGAGAAACUCGGCUUAAAUAGUCUAACACCAGAAAUGUUAUUAUUCAGUUUAGUCGCCUAAUGGACAUACAAGGACUAGACAUUACCAGGCAUUCCUGUAUACCUUACCUUAUGCUGUAUAACAUUGCCACAACCCUGGGUUUUAUUGAUUUAAAUGGCCACAGGGAGUGGUAGAAAAUUGCGGGUUAUAAUGUUAUUAGUUUAUCUACUGUGGUGACAAGUGGGCUGACUGAUGUCCGUUGACACCUGUAUCGUGCUUCAGUUUACUCGCCAGAUCGUCCUGUCACGGGACUCGUCUGUAGGAAGUAUAUCAAAAUUUCUUGGAUCAUUAAUAGCAUAAGACUUGGGGUAGGAGAGGGCUGCAGUGUUUGUCGUGGCCCUCAGUUGUUCCUGGUAUUAGUCGACUUAGUUUUAGAAAUAUUUUUGUUGGCCAGUGUUGAAGUUGUUUGAAAGUAGAUGUGUUUUUCUAAAGAGAGUGGGGGUGUCCAUGCUUGGAUACAGUUAUCUAAGUGAUAAUAGAUAUCUGGUGUAUAAGUGUUUUAACAGUAGAAUAACUACCUUCUUUUCCUUAAAGUCAAAAUGUCGCUAAAUUAUUUCAAAAGUUUUGUUAGUGAUUGUGAUGUUAGUGCAGCAACUUUUGGUUAAUGAUGGAUUCUUGCUCAAAGGUCCUUUAUUUCAUUGUUCUGCUUCAUUUUAAUGUUAAUGUGGUAGUUGUGAUAUGGAUUGUUCUGGCUCACCUCUAAGGUUUUGCAAUGUUAAACGUAUAUUAAGAAGAAUUUGCCAGUCUUUGAACCAUUUUUAGAGUUCGUGUAGAUCUUUGUAAAGACUCGAUAUAAUAGUUUCAUGUUCUUUAUACCAUAAAUCUUGGCGUCAUCUGCAAAUUUGAUGUGGUUUUUAAUAUUUUGAUUUGUUAUUGAUGUAUAUAAGGUAUAGACCCUUGUGGUAUGCCUCCAGUCAAAUCUGUUUCGGAGGAACCUUUAAUUUCUUUGGUUUAAUUAAGCCUUUGUUUUUAUCCUUUCUACCAUUUAUUCUAUGUGCCUGGUAUUUUAUUCCUAGUGUUUCAUAUGUUGCUUUAGCAAACAAAGUACUUGUGUACCAAUAGUCUUGUGCGAAUAGCUGGUUAUCUUUAAAAAAAAGUUCAUUUUUUAACAAACCGUUUUGUUGAUUUUACAAGACUGAAUGAAUCUCCCCUUCAGGACCUUGCAGAUGUGAGGUUAAAGUAAUCAGAAUUUUUCUGCUUGGCAGUUUAAAAAAUUUAAGUGACAUUUGAAAUCCAGAUAAAGUUGAGAAUAGCUUUGAACCUAUAUAGUGAGUUUAAGUGGCAAUAAGUUUGAAUGGAAAGUUCAUUUAAGAGCUUAGAUUGAAUUCUAGGUAUCUGAAGUUUUUAUAAUUUUAGUUUGAAAAGCUCUUCCCAUUUAUGGUGCUUGUUACAGGCAGUGUAUGUAUACACUAUCUUUAAAUAGUUAUAUUCAGCAGCUUGAAACAUUUGUGGUAAUGGAUUGUCUGACGUGUGAAUUUAGUGUUGAUUCCAAAUGUUUGGUAGACAUUUCAUAGUGCAGCAAAUAUUAACACAGAUUGAACAUUUCUAAAGUUUUUUCUUUUCUUAGACUAGUAGAAAAUUGUAGUGUUUGGUCUCAUUUGAUAUUGUCCAGCAUUAGACAAUAUUGUUAGCAAGUAUGAAAGUAGUAGUUUCCUGUAGAGUUUUAAUACAUAAUCAAUGUGAUUACUAUAAUGGGCUAAGGUGUGACAUUUAGUAAGGCACAUUAAACUAAAUUUAGUUUUUUUUCAAUCUUGCCAUUGACUUAAAUUUUUACAUAAGCUAUGCAACAUCAUUGAUAAGUGGAAGUUUAGCCCAUACAUUUGUUUUAGAAGUGAAAUUUGGUAGUUAUAUUAUAAAUUAUUUUAAAUUUUGUUAUCAGGUUAAUUCAGUUUGGAAUGCAAAGUUUUAAAAAGUGGUCAAAAUGAUUUCAUUUUUGUAUGCUUAAGAUGCUCAUGUGUAAGUUUAUAAUAGCUUUAUGAAGUUUAAGUUCUCAUAAACUACAUUAGCUUUAUGAAAACUUAUAACUCUUAUACAUGCAGGUUUAAAUUAAUGCAUUAUAUCAGUUUUCUUUAGAUGUCAUUGUUAGGAAGACUGCAUUGGUAAUAAAUUUCAAGCAUAGUUGAAUUAUAGCUACUUUCAGGAUAAAGUACAUAUAGUUUUAUUAAAUAGUAUACAAUAUAACUACCUGAAACAAAAUUAGACUUCAAAGGCAAAGAAAAUGUCCAGAGUACCAAAGACAUCAUCCACCUGUAAAAGAAAAAUAAUGAGUGUCCCUGUUCAAUAUACUAACACCUACCAAUUAGCCAAUAAUUUUCACUUUAGUUGUGGGAAGCUGCUCCUCCUAGAUGCAAUCCACUGAAGACUCCAAAAGAUCAUCAAGGCCCAGGAAAACUCCAGAGUACCAAGGACAUCAUCCACCUGUAAAAGAAAAAUAAAGUAUAUCAAACAGG